GGGCUCAUGGAUCCUGCUUUAACAAUCCCGAUCCCAACACUCAAUAACGGCCUCACUGUGUAUAGAAGACUGGGAUCAUUCAUUUUGUUUGGUGAAUGGCCAUCGGUGAUCUUCCUCAGGAAUCGAUCAUUGGUAUCCAACACUGAGGAUUUGUUGCUGUUGUGAACAUGUCUGAGCAGAAAACCUUCCGGCCCAGACCAUACUCCAGCAAUCUACUGGACAUCCUGUCUGCUAUCAGCUAUCAGGAGGAAGAACAGCAUGAGAUUAACAGGACAAUCAUUCUCACUCAGGGUUCAGAGAUAGAUAAGUCAAUCAGUAUUUUCCUUUGACUGUACAUCUGUAACAUAUAGAGAAACCUUAAAUUUGAUGAAUCAAAAAGUGUCAUAUUGCAGCCGUGAAAGAAUAGUGUGACCCCCACUGUUCUAACACCUUUCACACCCUGUGUCAUGUGAGAGGAGCCAGAGGGGGCUGAGCAAAUCAAUGCACUGCAUUUAGCUUCACGAUGGGAUAAGAAUAGUAAAGAAAAUAGAAAAUCAAUAUAUUGUGGUUAAUAUUGAUAUUGCGUUGGCCACAAAUGUAAAACACUGAGACGUAUACAAAAUGUCAGUGGCACAUUUAAAUGAAUGAAGUCUCAUGUGGUCUGAGGGAUUGGAUCUCAAAUGUGACUGUGAUGCAUCUUGGGGACAUUCUCCACUCAAUUCACAGCUGUCCACAUGUGAUUAAACUGCCCAAGAUGCAUGUCAAUCCCAAAUCUCCCAAGUAUGCAUAAGGUUAAAAUACAUGCCACAUUUGCAUGAGCAUAUCUACAACUAUAGAAUUUCCAUGAACACUGAUGAAUAUAUUACAUAUAUUAAAGACAAUACACUACCA